rnacentral:rRNA from 1 species
UACGGGAGGCAGCAGUGGGGAAUAUUGGGCAACCCUUUAAAGCCUGACCCAGCAACGCCGCGNGAAGGAAGAAGGCCUUCGGGNCGUAAACUUCUUUUAUCAAGGACGAAGAAAGUGACGGUACUUGAUGAAUAAGNANGGGCUAACUACGUGCCAGCAGCCGCGGUAAU